GCCAGGAAAAAUCCCCCCAAAAUUUGCCUCCAGCACCGGGGGCUCCUCGCUGCUGGUGACAGCAGCUGGGCUGGCCUUGGUGGCUCUGCUGGCGUUCCACCAGGCAAAUUUGAAAUUUAUUUUCUUUUCCUCCCCAUCCCCUCCUUCCCCCACCAUCUUCAUGCAGGCACCCAAAUCCCACUGUCCACCCCAAAUCUCCAAACGCUUCCCUCCUCCUUCCCUAAGGGCUCCUCAUGGCCACACUGCCCCCCAAAAACCAGUGGGCAGGGGCUCAAAUUCAAACCAAGCUGCCUUGAGAGGGGUUUGGGCUGAUUUGGGUUGAUUUGGGUUGAUUUGGGUUGAUUUGGGUUAAUUUGGGUCGAUUUGGGUCGAUAAGGUCCGGAUUUGGGUUGAUUUGGGUUGAUUUGGGUUGAUUUGGGUUGAUUUGGGUCAAUAAGGUCCUGAUUUGGGUUGAUUUGGGCUGAUGGGGUCCCGAUUUGGGUUGAUAAGGUGCUGAUUUGGGUCAAUAGGGUCUCGAUUUGUAUUGAUAAGGUCCCGAUUUGGACUGAUAAGGUGCUGAUUUGGGUUGAUAAGGUGCUGAUUUGGUUUGAUAAGGUGCCGAUUUGGGCUGAUAAGGUGCUGAUUUGGAUCGAUAAGGUGCUGAUUUGGGUCGAUAAGGUGCUGAUUUGGGUUGAUAAGGCCCCGAUUUGGGUCAAUAAGGUGUCGAUUUGGGUCGAUAAAGUGCUGAUUUGGACUGAUAAGGUGCUGAUUUGGGUCAAUAAGGUCCUGAUUUGGGUCGAUAAGGCCCCAAUUUGGGUCGAUAAGGUCCCCAUGAGCUGUGCCACGCCCAAAGGGGUUCCUGGCUGCCCCACCUUGGAUGUAGGUGUGGGUUUCCCUCUCUGGCACUCUCUCCCAGCACUGCUGCUCCUGCUGGCCCCGCUGGGAGCUGGACACCCACUCCAGGAUGAAGCAGAGCGGGGGGCUGCGGCUGGGCCGGGGGGGCUGCCACCGCACCAGGAACCCGCCCUGCUGCUCAGCCUUCACCUCCACGGCCUCUGGGGCUGGGAAUUCUGUGGGGAAAGAGGCAGGGAGCUGUCACCCCGAAUUCAGCCUUGGAGACUGGCAAGGGUCAGCCCAGCCCAGGACAAAUGUGGGUUUGAAAAGUGAAGGGUGAGCAGGGAAUUAUAGAACAUGGUGGGUUUGUAUAGAAACACACUAUAUAUAUAUAUAUAUAUAUAUUUAUGUGUUGACCUGUAUUUCAUAGAAUUAUUUAGGUUGGAACAGACCUUAAAGAUCAAGGCCACCACUGCCCUGUGUCCCCAAGUGCCACAUCCACAGGGAUUUUAAAUCCCUCCAAGCAUGGGGACUUCUGUGCAGCUGUGCCAGGGCUGGAGAACCUUUCCAUGAAGGAAUUUUCCCAAAUAUCCACCCUGAG
rnacentral:lncRNA from 1 species